GACCAGACUCCUACGGGAGGCAGCAGUGGGGAAUCUUCCGCAAUGGGCGCAAGCCUGACGGAGCAAUGCCGCGUGAACGAAGAAGGUCUUCGGAUUGUAAAGUUCUGUCCUUAUCGAAGAGAGGGUAUAGAGUGAAAAAUGAUAUACUAGGACGGUAGAUGAGGAGGAAGCCCCGGCUAACUACGUGCCAGCAGCCGCGGUAAUACGUAGGGAGCGAGCGUUGUCCGGAUUUACUGGGUGUAAAGGGUGCGUAGGCGGCCCUGCAAGUCAGAAGUGAAAUCCAUGGGCUUAACCCGUGAACUGCUUUUGAAACUGCAGGACUUGAGUGGAGUAGAGGUAGGCGGAAUUCCCGGUGUAGCGGUGAAAUGCGUAGAGAUCGGGAGGAACACCAGUGGCGAAGGCGGCCUACUGGGCUUUAACUGACGCUGAAGCACGAAAGCGUGGGUAGCAAACAGGAUUAGAUACCCGGGUAAA
rnacentral:rRNA from 1 species